rnacentral:rRNA from 1 species
CCAGACUCCUACGGGAGGCAGCAGUGGGGGAUAUUGCACAAUGGGGGAAACCCUGAUGCAGCGACGCCGCGUGAGUGAGGAAGUAUUUCGGUAUGUAAAGCUCUAUCAGCAGGGAAGAAAAUGACGGUACCUGAGUAAGAAGCCCCGGCUAACUACGUGCCAGCAGCCGCGGUAAUACGUAGGGGGCAAGCGUUAUCCGGAUUUACUGGGUGUAAAGGGAGCGUAGACGGCAGUGCAAGUCUGGAGUGAAGGGCGGGGGCUCAACCCCCGGACUGCUCUGGAAACUGUGCGGCUGGAGUGCAGGAGAGGUAAGUGGAAUUCCUAGUGUAGCGGUGAAAUGCGUAGAUAUUAGGAGGAACACCAGUGGCGAAGGCGGCUUACUGGACUGUAACUGACGUUGAGGCUCGAAAGCGCGGGGAGCAAACAGGAUUAGAUAC